AGCAGCCGCGGUAAUUCCAGCUCCAAUAGCGUAUAUUAAAGUUGUUGCAGUUAAAAAGCUCGUAGUUGAAUUUCGGGGUCAGUAGGUUGGUCGUGCCACGGGUAUGUACUGGUCUCACUGAUUCCUCCUUCCUGAUGAACCGUAAUGCCAUUAAUUUGGUGUUGCGGGGAAACUGGACUGUUACUUUGAAAAAAUUAGAGUGUUUAAAGCAGGCUAACGCUUGAAUACAUUAGCAUGGAAUAAUGAAAUAGGACGUUGAUCUUAUUUUGUUGGUUUCUAGGAUUGACGUAAUGAUUAAUAGGGAUAGUUGGGGGCAUUAGUAUUCAAUUGUCAGAGGUGAAAUUCUUGGAUUUAUUGAAGACUAACUACUGCGAAAGCAUUUGCCAAGGAUGUUUUCAUUAAUCAAGAACGAAAGUUAGGGGAUCGAAGACGAUCAGAUACCGUCGUAGUCUUAACCAUAAACUAUGCCGACUAGGGAUCGGAUGAUGUUAAUUUUUAAUGUACUCAUUCGGCGCCUUAC
rnacentral:rRNA from 1 species